UUUAGCACAAUGAUUAUUCCUGUUUUACAGACAAAGAAAUGGAGGCUCACAGAGGUUAAGAAGUUCUAGGGCUGGGAUUUGAACCCAGGGGUUCUAAAAGCACAUGCUUUUAGCCACAGUGUUAUCCUGUUUCAACAGCUACUAGGUGCCUGCAUAAACAUGAGCAGAUAAGAUGGGAGAAUGAAGGUAUUUGAAAUAUGUGGAUUUAAAGCAUCUAGUAAUGAUUAUGAAGAUGCUGAAGGGAUAUGGCUUUGGAUUACAGCAAUAGGCAAGAUGUUAUCUGUUAAUAGACUAAAGAACAGAGAAGUGAUUUCUGUGACUAUAGAGCAAUUUAAAGGAAGAGCUGAGAUUAAACAGUCCCACAUCUGCUUCACUGCUUUGGCCUGCAUGAACUCUCUAAAAUAGAGAUCUGCUGUGCUUAAGAUCCUUCAAUGGUUUCUCCCAAGAUAUUGGGAUCUCUGAAGACAAGGACUGUGUCCCCAGAAACUCAUCGACUCUCUGGUGUCUCUGGGUCUACGCACAUGAUGUCUCCAAGGCCAGGUAUCAUUAUUUAUCUAAAUCUCCGGAGCCAUUGAGGACCAAGAUCAUACUUGCUGAAUAAAUGCACGGAGCAGGAUCAGAGGAUAGACACAGAAUGGGCCAAGAAGAGAAAUAUUAUUCCUCAUAAGAGCUUGCUUGAUUGCAACCACCAAGGACAUCCACAAACCAGGGCAAGAAGGACCAUCCGUAAUUCUUUCCCAUAAAUAGUGACAGGAAGAAAAUAAACGCCCUAUUCUUCAAUGAUUUGAACCACCUCUGGAGCACAAACUUUCUCUAAAUUCACAGGGCAAAUAUCCAUCAUGGGGCAGGUAUCUAUGCUGCCAUGGAAAGUAACAUAAAAUGUACUAAGUCAUCACAGGGAGUUUUAAUUUUGUUUUUAAGGUCAAUUGCCAUGCUGGGGUAAAAAGCAUUGAUCCUUGCCUUUUAUCACCGGAAAAAUUCUUCACCAGUACUUUGUGAAAAUCUCGCCUCAUCAGGGCUGCCAAGGUCAAUGCAACCUAAGUAACCAAGCUGGGAGAUGCUUGCCUAAUUAUUAAAUAUUUAGCAAACAGUUUGUGACUAUUUAACUGUUUGCACCUGGCACCCUCUUUUCACUACGUGAGGCCUCCUGGCACCCUGACCUCUUCCCCCACCCCUACCCACUGCCCAGGCCGCCAGCACCCCUGGGGGGCAAAUACCGGGACCCAAGGGCAUUUCAAAGAAACAGCAGAGGUCACAUUCCAUUUCCUUUUUAUUAAAAAACAUACUUAAAAUGGGGGAGGAGGGCACAGAUCUAAGGUAAAAUCUCUUGCAGUUUUUUCAAGUUCGCAUGCACCGUUGAAAGUUCAUUAGUUAGGGAUUUAAAAGCAAAAAUGUUUCACACAACCAAUUAAACGCCAAGCUUUACAAACGCCUUGGUCUUUGGUUUUGGGAAUCUGUAAAAGUCCGCCUCCCCCCACCCGAGUUUUGCCCCUUUUAGAGCCCCUUUGUUGAAUUACGUGACUUUUCCCGAAGUCAUCAAACUUUGAAUUGCGUCUCUAAUUUUUUUUUUCAGGGCAAAAGCAAAUCAAGAAAUUAAACUUAAAAGUAGGCGACUCGGAGAG
rnacentral:lncRNA from 1 species